rnacentral:rRNA from 1 species
GACGAACGCUGGCGGCGGGCUUAACACAUGCAAGUCGAACGGAAAGGCCCUGCUUUUGUGUGGUGCUCGAGUGGCGAACGGGUGUGUAACACGUGAGUAACCUACCCUUGACUUUGUGAUAACUUCAGGCAACUGGGGCUAAUACCUGAUAGGAGCUCCUGCUGCAUGGUGGGGGUUGGAAAGUUUAGGCGGUUGGGGAUGGACUGGCGGCUUAUCAGCUUGUUGGUGGGGUAGUGGCUUACCAAGGCUUUGACGGGUGGCCGGCAUGAGAGGGUGACCGGCCACAUUGGGCCUGAGAUACGGCCCAGACUCCUACGGGAGGCAGCAGUGGGGAAUAUUGCACAAUGGGCGGAAGCCUGAUGCAGCAACGCCGCGUGCGGGAUGACGGCCUUCGGGUUGUAAACCGCUUUAGCCUGUGACGAAGCGUGAGUGACGGUAAUGGGUAAAGAAGCACCGGCUAACUACGUG